AGGGAAUUUUCCACAAUGGACGAAAGUCUGAUGGAGCAACGCCGCGUGAACGAUGAAGGUCUUCGGAUUGUAAAGUUCUGUUGUCAGGGACGAAUAAGUACCGUUCGAACAGGGCGGUACCUUGACGGUACCUGACGAGAAAGCCACGGCUAACUACGUGCCAGCAGCCGCGGUAAUACGUAGGUGGCAAGCGUUGUCCGGAAUUAUUGGGCGUAAAGCGCGCGCAGGCGGCUAUGUAAGUCUGGUGUAAAAGCCCGGGGCGCAACCCCGGUUCGCAUCGGAAACUGUGUAGCUUGAGUGCAGAAGAGGAAAGCGGUAUUCCACGUGUAGCGGUGAAAUGCGUAGAGAUGUGGAGGAACACCAGUGGCGAAGGCGGCUUUCUGGUCUGUAACUGACGCUGAGGCGCGAAAGCGUGGGGAGCAAAC
rnacentral:rRNA from 1 species